AUACGUAGGUGGCGAGCGUUAUCCGGAUUCAUUGGGCGUAAAGCGCGCGCAGGCGGCCGCCUAAGCGGGACCUCUAAUCCUGGGGCUCAACCUCAGGCCGGGUCCCGGACUGGGCGGCUCGGGUGCGGUAGGGGCAGGCGGAAUUCCCGGGGUAGCGGUGGAAUGCGCAGAUAUCGGGAAGAAAACCGACGGCGAAGGCAGCCUGCUGGGCCGACACCGACGCUGAGGCGCGAAAGCCGGGGGAGCGAACAGGAUUAGAUACCCUGGUAGUCCCGGCCGUAAACGAUGCUCGCUAGGUGUGGGGGGAUACCUCCCUCCGUGCCGCAGCCAACGCAUUAAGCGAGCCGCCUGGGGAGUACGGCCGCAAGGCUAAAACUCAAAUGAAUUGGCGGGG
rnacentral:rRNA from 1 species